GGGGAAUCUUAGACAAUGGGGGCAACCCUGAUCUAGCCAUGCCGCGUGAGUGAUGAAGGCCUUAGGGUUGUAAAGCUCUUUCAGCUGGGAAGAUAAUGACGGUACCAGCAGAAGAAGCCCCGGCUAACUCCGUGCCAGCAGCCGCGGUAAUACGGAGGGGGCUAGCGUUGUUCGGAAUUACUGGGCGUAAAGCGCACGUAGGCGGAUCGGAAAGUUGGGGGUGAAAUCCCGGGGCUCAACCCCGGAACUGCCUUCAAAACUAUCGGUCUGGAGUUCGAGAGAGGUGAGUGGAAUUCCGAGUGUAGAGGUGAAAUUCGUAGAUAUUCGGAGGAACACCAGUGGCGAAGGCGGCUCACUGGCUCGAUACUGACGCUGAGGUGCGAAAGCGUGGGGAGCAAAC
rnacentral:rRNA from 1 species